rnacentral:lncRNA from 1 species
AUGAACUGCAGAGCAUUCUACUUGUUAGAAACACAUGAUAAAAUCCUAACAUUUUGUUGACAGAAAAACCACUACUGUAUUUCAGAAAUGCUUCAGUAAUACAUUAAGGAAUGUGAAAAUUUUGGUUACACACCCAACUUUCUAGAGAGCCAGAGGGUGCUUAAACAAGCUUAAAACUUUGAACCUUACUUGUAUCAUUUGGAUUGUGACGAGGUUUGCAGCUCUGAGGAUUGAGGAGAAUAUUCUCUUUAGUACUGGGUUGGCAGGCACUUUUGAUUGGCUUACAGAAUUGUUUCAUGGUAGUUUGAGGUAAAGCAGUUGGGACUGUGUCAUGAGUCGCUAUUCCAGCCUGAAAACACCUGCCACUGCUGAAGUCAUCUGCUGAAAUUACACCCAUCACUUCAAUUUCUUUUCCUCCGAUCAUCAGUGUUUGACCUUCCUCAAGACUGUCUAACUCUUUAGAUUUAUAUCCAGAACCUCUGCCAAUGUCUUUGCCUUCCAUGUCUUUCAAUAUUACUGACUUUCCUUUUGUAAUAAGAAUAGCAUCGCCU